rnacentral:lncRNA from 10 species
UUGCCUUUUCUUAGUUGUUUCUGUCUGUCUUGUAGCUCUUUAGUCCUUUUCUUUUCUUGCUCUCUUCCUUUGUAAUUUUGUUGACUGUUUGCAGCUGUUGGAGGCCGCACAAAUGUUUCUUAUAAUGAGGCAUAAUUGAAGCCUGUCAGUAACAAUAUGAACCUGUGGUCAAUUAAGCAGCUGACCAAUCGUUACCUCCUCCUUCUUGCUCUUGUUACCCAAUAAAUAAGAAGGGUUGUGGAAGCUCAGGGGCUGCCUUUCCUCACUAGAAGCAGGGAGCUCUCUUCUUCCCCAUGCUAGCCUUUCCUUAAAAUAGUUACUUUUGUUUUCUGUUAUGAUUUCUAUGUUCGUCCGUUCAUUCAGUCUUGUAAUGACAGUCUCAAGCAGUAACAGCAGUAACUGCUGUAAUGACGGUCUCAAGUAGUAGUAGUGGCAGUCGGCCACAUUUUAUAAUUUCUAUCUCUUUGCUGAUAUUCUCAUUUUGAUUAUGUAUCAUUUUCCUGAGCUCACUGAGCACCUUAAUGUCUGUCAUUUUAAAUUUUUUCACAGAUAAUCUAUAUACUUUCACUUCUUUAUGACCAGUUUCUAGAGUUUUAGUUUGGAAUGGACCACGUUUUAUUGUUUUACCAUGCGUCUUGUAACUUUUUGUUGAAAUUCAUUCAUUUGAAAAACAACCACUUCUCCCCAUCUUUGAAGAUAGACAUCAUACAGGGAGAAGACAGAAACUGGAAGUUCCUUCUCAAUUGGACUUUACUGAGCUAGCAGAGCACUGAACUUGGCAGGAAAAUCAGUAGGAGUAAGUGGCGGAGGCAUGGGACUGGCAGAGAUACGGCAGCCCCUGUGGAGAGGCUGUCUACAGAUAACAUAACAAUAACAACAGGAUCUGCGGGGUUCCUGCAUGCGUGUUGGCUUCACUGGAGAAACUAAUCAAGUGGUCUGAGUCAUUCAAGUUAUAGUCUAUUUGAAGACGAGUUGAAUCUGAAACAAUGAGUAAGAUGAUGAGAGCUCGAUACUUAUGGUUUAAAUAUAAAAGGGGUAUCCCAACUCAGAAAGAGAGAGGAGAUCUGGAAAAAUCCUGCUUUCUGAAGCUUUUGACGGUAUUUUCAUACUGCCUGACUAAAGUGCAACAGCUACAUAUUGACAGGCGGUGGAAGGUGCAGUUUGGACACAGAGACUGACACACAGGAAGAAUACCAUGUGAAGACUGGAGUUUUGCAUAGAGAAGCCAAGGAGCUACCAGAAGCUAGGAGAAUGGCCUGGAACAGACCUUUCCUUAGUGCCUUCAGAGAGAGCAUGGCGCUGCCAACAUCUUGAUCUCAGACUUCCAGCAUCCUGAAUUGUGAGAUAAAUUUCUGCUGUUUAAACCAUAUAAUUUGUGAUACUUUGCUAUGGCAACUGUCACAGCUAUUAUAAGCACCUAACCCUUUUUUUAAUCUUUUAAGAAACUUUUUGCUUUCAUCUACUUUUUUUGUUCUGGUUAUUCCAUAUUUUACUUUAAGAUUUAGUCUUCUGUCAAUAAAGCAAUAAUUUCAGAUCAAUUUCAAUAAAAAAUUAAUAAUGUCCAAACA